ACAGCUUGGAAAGAUGACACUGUUGAAUUACGACAGCUGGAAUCACACAGUGUGAUUCCUGACUGGCUGAGAUAUUCCAUGAAGAAGAAGACAUGGUUACUAUGGGAGAAGAUAGUCAUGAAGCAUCAACUUCAUAGAGUGGUGGUGGAGAAGGAGGAAGGAUGGUGGUAACAGCAACAUAUGAAAAUGAGGAUAGCAUAGAAAUGCAUGGGAUUGGAAAGGCCACUGUGGAACAUGACUUCCAGAGCAUCAUCAGGUCAACCUAUCACCAAGCCAAGGACACGACUCCAGAACAGCAGGUGUUCAGAGAUGUUCUUGGUAGGAGAAGAAACAGUCCUUAAAACAGAAGUCCAGUUCACUGCUCAUUUUUGAUUUACAGUAUCAAAAUCACUCAACGAAGAGAGGAGAAAACAUGUAUUUAUUUUAUAGUGAACAGAGGAAUCACUGGGAGUUCGGGGACAGAACGGGGAGCAACAAGCAUUCAGCAUCAGUCACCACCAUCAAGAACGCUAGGCUUGUGGUCCAAAGUCACUGUUACUUUAAAAAUCAGUAUACACUCAGCACUCUGUAUUCACAGAUUCUGCAUCCACAGAUUCCACUAACCAUGGCUCAAAAAUACCACCUGCCCCCUUCCAAAUAGCAAACCUUGAUUUUGCUCUUUUAUAUCAAAUAUACUAUUUUACUAUGUCAAUAUAUAAUGAGACUUUGUGUGUGCUUUCUGGGUUUGCAUGCCACGCCACACACACACUCUCCUUGGAAAGAAAGUGCAUGUGUGGCAUGGUGUGCAGACCCCGAAAGCACAUGUGGCUGCAGCCACUGCAGGUGCCUGCACUUUCUGGGACUGCACGCCAUGGUAUGCAUGCACUCUAUUUUCAUGGAGAGUGCAUGUCUGGUGUGCAGGUCCGAAAAGCGUGUGCACCUGCCAGUGCUUGAAGCCAAGCACCUCUUACUCUAGAGUAAGAGGCACUCAGCUGUUGGUACUGGCAGGCAUGCACAUUUUCGAGGCAUACAUGCUGAGUACACACACUCUUUCCAAGGCAAGGAGAAAAGUUCUGGGAGGCGCUCAGCUGCAGGCAAAAGCAGGCUGGGAGCCUGGAUCAGCUUUAGAUUGCUUUCGUGUUAAGCUGAUUUUCAUCGGAGAGAAGGCUUCACGUUUCAUGCUCCUGAACAAAUGAAAGAAACUGGAGAAAUGAAUUCUGCACAAAAUUCUAAUAACCAUACAGAUGGCUUUACUACCACAUUUCCACCAACAUACCUGUUAUGUUAAUGUGCCUGAGAAAAAUCCUUCCCCUGAAGAUCUUAAAACUCAGGUAGGUUGAUAUAUAAGGAGAUACAAUGUAUGUAUUUUAGAAAGCCUACAUUAAGCUUUAUAGGGCUUAAUAGAUCAUGAUCAGCACAUUUAAUUCUUCCUGGAAAUGGACCAGUAGACCACCUUCCAUGCUUAGAAUUUUGUGCAAGAGAAUGUCCAAAUUACAAAGCAGAAAUUUCUACUGGAGUCCAAUUCAGCACAGUUGUAGUCCCAUUCAGCACAUGCUCAAUCCAAAUUUCCUUAUCUAACUGCUGACUGAGCCGGAGCACCUUUAUCUUUUCUAUAUUAAGUUUCAAUGUGUUUACCCAGUCCAUGACUGGUGACAGAGGACCUUAUCAGACGGCCAGGGAUUAAGCGAGGGACAUCAGGGGAAACCGUAGGUCAGAAGAGGGAACUGUCAUGCUCUGUUCCCUACUGUCAAGGUCUGUAGUCUCCCUUCCCAUGACAUUUCCCCAUCUGCCUCUGCUUCCUCCCUGGCUACCCUGGCUUUGCUCUAUGAUGAGUCGGGUGUACAACACUGUAAGCAUGGAGCCCCAUGGAGCCCCACUGGAAGUACCCUGUGUCAUGUUGUUAUCGAGCCAUGGUAACCACCCUCCCAAAAAGAUUUAUAGUUCAUCAAGAGCUCAGAAAUAAAUAUAUAAUUUUUCCAUUUUUAAACAGACCCUUUCUAGACUUGCACAAGUUCAAAGCAUCAGAAGAUCAUGACCCAACCAGCAGCAGCUGUAAACCAAUAAUCUCUAUCAUAUCUAAUGCUUUCCUAAAUUGCAUCUAUUUUAUGAUUUUGUGCAACUUGUAUCUUUCAACUGUGUACUGUAUCUAUUUCUCAUAUAUGAAAUGUAUAUAAACUGCUUCUUAGAUAUGUAUCAAAAUAUAACUUAGAAACAGCAACCCCUAUGUGAUCCUAUUCCGAUAAUCCCCUGGGAAUGGUAAAGAUUGGGCAAAUCCUUCUGGCUAUUUCCCAAGCCAGAUAAUCAUCAGAUUCAUUGUAAAAGAUAGGUGACUUCCUUUGUCAGUCAGAUAAGUUUCAAAUGUUGGUACAAGUCACAUAAAGUUGAGAAUCUGCAGCAACUCCAUGAAAAUAGAAGCUUAGAGUAUGUGCGUUCAUUAACUCUCAGCCAUUCCUUGAUAAUCCAAGAUCAUCUUUGUGCCUUGAGUUUUGCACCUUUGUUUCCUAAGAUCUAUAUCUUUGUUUGGCACAGAACUGGACAUUUGAGCUAAUCAAAAGCUCAUCAACUUAUCUUUACCAUUUGUUUUCCCUGGACUGUUCCCUCCCAGGGGGUGUCUCUACAGCUGAUUGGUCCUUCAUUCUGACCAACUCCUGGCUGCCAAUCUUCCUCCCAGCCAAUCCCAGCAGGGAUCCUAUGAUGCCCUUUUUUCAGCCAAUCAGGGGAAGGAGCUAAAAAUCUGAAUAGCUGUCAGAACUGUAUAAGAUGUCUUGCUUUCUCUGUAUGUUUUUGCUUGUCUAUUUUGAAACAUCUUGCUUGUACUUGCAUCCCUUUUGGUUGAAUUAUAUUAAACCUCUGUGG